rnacentral:rRNA from 1 species
AGUAACACGUGGGUAACCUGCCCUAAAGUCUGGGAUACCACUUGGAAACAGGUGCUAAUACCGGAUAACAACAAUAGCUGCAUGGCUAUUGCUUAAAAGGCGGCGAAAGCUGUCGCUAAAGGAUGGACCCGCGGUGCAUUAGCUAGUUGGUAAGGUAAUGGCUUACCAAGGCGACGAUGCAUAGCCGAGUUGAGAGACUGAUCGGCCACAUUGGGACUGAGACACGGCCCAAACUCCUACGGGAGGCAGCAGUAGGGAAUCUUCCACAAUGGGCGAAAGCCUGAUGGAGCAACGCCGCGUGAGUGAAGAAGGUUUUCGGAUCGUAAAGCUCUGUUGUUGGUGAAGAAGGAUAGAGGUAGUAACUGGCCCCUAUUUGACGGUAAUCAACCAGAAAGUCACGGCUAACUACGUGCCAGCAGCCGCGGUAAUACGUAGGUGGCAAGCGUUGUCCGGAUUUAUUGGGCGUAAAGCGAGCGCAGGCGGAAAGAUAAGUCUGAUGUGAAAGCCCCCGGCUUAACCGAGGAAUUGCAUCGGAAACUGUGUUUCUUGAGUGCAGAAGAGGAGAGUGGAACUCCAUGUGUAGCGGUGGAAUGCGUAGAUAUAUGGAAGAACACCAGUGGCGAAGGCGGCUCUCUGGUCUGUAACUGACGCUGAGGCUCGAAAGCAUGGGUAGCGAACAGGAUUAGAUACCCUGGUAGUCCAUGCCGUAAACGAU